CCGUUCUCAGUUUUGGUGAAUAAUAGUUUGUCGUACUAAAGGGGGCUGUGCGUGUGGCUAGAUCGGG
rnacentral:tRNA from 1 species